rnacentral:rRNA from 1 species
CGGAGAGGGAGCUGAGAAACCGGUACCCACAAUCCAAGGAAGGCAGCAGGCGCGCAAAUUACCCAAUCCUGAUUCAGGGAGGUAGUGCCAAUAAAUACUGAUACAGGGCUCUUUUGGGUCUUGUAUUUGGAAUGAGUACAAUUUAAAUCCCUUAACGAGGAACAAUUGGAGGGCAAGUCUGGUGCCAG